UACGAAGGGUGCUAGCGUUGUUCGGAAUCACUGGGCGUAAAGCGCGCGUAGGCGGCUUGUCAAGUCAGGGGUGAAAUCCCGAGGCUCAACCUCGGAAUUGCCCUUGAAACUAGCAGGCUGGAGUGUCGGAGGGGAUAGCGGAAUUGCUAAUGUAGAGGUGAAAUUCGUAGAUAUUAGCAGGAACACCGGUGGCGAAGGCGGCUAUCUGGACGACAACUGACGCUGAGGCGCGAAAGCGUGGGGAUCAAACAGG
rnacentral:rRNA from 1 species